CAGACUUCUACGGGAGGCUGCAGUCGAGAAUCUUUCGCAAUGGGCGAAAGCCUGACGAAGCGACGCCGUGUGUGUGAUGAAGGCCUUAGGGUCGUAAAACACUUUCGCUUGGGAACAAGAAACAGCAGCUAAUAUCUGCUGAAUUUGAGAGUAUCGAG
rnacentral:rRNA from 1 species